GGUCAAUGAUGAACAGUAAAAGGUCUGAUUGCCCAGUGGUUUUGCCUUCAUUACCCUCCCAACUCCCAGCAUUUUCUCUUCCAUCAUGCUCUAGAAAUGCUGUGAUGGGGGUCACCAUUUGCUGAUAAGUAGUGAUAUAUUCAGCUUGUGUUACCCUAGAGUCAUGGGUAAACACUACUGAAAUUGCUGUCCAACAUAAAUAGAUAACAGGAGUUUGAGGUUAUUGGCUCUGUACCUGGGUAUCUGAUCUGAAAUUUUUAGCUGAGACC